UAUAGGGCUGUGUGUAUUGGUAGUGGGUCUGAAAUUUUGCACACAUUUACAAUAAUUGUAAAUGUGUUGAAAAUCGUUUGCACAACUGUGA
rnacentral:pre_miRNA from 12 species